CGAACAACUCUCAGCAACGGAUAUCUUGGCUCUUGCAACGAUGAAGAACGCAGCGAAAUGCGAUACGUAUUGUGAAUUGCAGAAUUCCGCGAAUCAUCGAGUCUUUGAACGCAAGUUGCGCCCGAGGCUUGUCCGAGGGCAUUUCCGCUAGAGCGUCACC
rnacentral:rRNA from 1 species